rnacentral:rRNA from 1 species
UAAGCGGAGGAAAAGAAACUAACAAGGAUUCCCUUAGUAACGGCGAGUGAACCGGGAAGAGCUCAAAUUUGAAAUCUGGCUGUCUUCGAUAGUCCGAGUUGUAAUCUAUAGAAGCGUUUUCCGUGCUGAACUGUGUCUAAGUCCCUUGGAACAGGGUAUCAAAGAGGGUGACAAUCCCGUACUUGACACAAUCAUCAGUGCUCUGUGAUACGCUCUCUACGAGUCGAGUUGUUUGGGAAUGCAGCUCAAAAUGGGUGGUAAAUUCCAUCUAAAGCUAAAUAUUGGCGAGAGACCGAUAGCGAACAAGUACCGUGAGGGAAAGAUGAAAAGCACUUUGGAAAGAGAGUUAAACAGUACGUGAAAUUGUUGAAAGGGAAACGAUUGAAGUCAGUCGUGUUCAUUGGAUUCAGCCGGUCUUCGGUGUACUUCCUUUGAACGGGUCAACAUCAGUUUUGCCCGGUGGAUAAAGGCAGUAGGAAUGUGGCCUCUCCGGAGGUGUUAUAGCCUAUUGUCACAUACACUGGGGGAGACUGAGGACUGCAGCUCGCCUUUUGGCCGGGGUUCGCCCACGUUCGAGCUUAGGAUGUUGACAUAAUGGCUUUAAACGACCCGUCUUGAAACACG